rnacentral:rRNA from 1 species
UUUGAAAGCUGGCUCCUUCGGGGCCCGCAUUGUAAUUUGCAGAGGAUGCUUCGGGAGCGGCCCCCAUCUAAGUGCCCUGGAACGGGCCGUCAUAGAGGGUGAGAAUCCCGUCUGGGAUGGGGUGCCCGCGCCCGUGUGAAGCUCCUUCGACGAGUCGAGUUGUUUGGGAAUGCAGCUCUAAAUGGGUGGUAAAUUUCAUCUAAAGCUAAAUACUGGCCGGAGACCGAUAGCGCACAAGUAGAGUGAUCGAAAGAUGAAAAGCACUUUGAAAAGAGAGUUAAACAGCACGUGAAAUUGUUGAAAGGGAAGCGCUUGCGACCAGACUCGCCCGCGGGGUUCAGCCGGCAUUCGUGCCGGUGUACUUCCCCACGGGCGGGCCAGCGUCGGUUUGGGCGGCCGGUCAAAGGCCCUCGGAAUGUAACGCCCCCCGGGGCGUCUUAUAGCCGAGGGUGCCAUGCGGCCAGCCCGGACCGAGGAACGCGCUUCGGCUCGGACGCUGGCAUAAUGGUCGUAAGCGACCCGUCUUGAAACACGGACCAAGGAGUCUAACAUCUACGCGAGUGUUCGGGUGUCAAACCCGUGCGCGCAGUGAAAGCGAACGGAGGUGGGAA